UGGGUGAUUAGCUCAGCUGGGAGAGCACCUCCCUUACAAGGAGGGGGUCGGCGGUUCGAUCCCGUAUCACCCACC
rnacentral:tRNA from 1 species